rnacentral:rRNA from 1 species
UUUCCGGUUGAUCCCGCCGGACCUGACUGCUAUCGGAUUGAUACUAAGCCAUGCGAGUCUUUGUAGUAAUACAAGGCAGACGGCUCAGUAACACGUAGUCAACCUACCCUAUGGACGAGAAUAAUCUCGGGAAACUGAGCAUAAUUCUCGAUAGAUCAUAAUGCCUGGAAUGGUUUAUGGUUAAAAUGAUUCGUCGCCAUAGGAUGGGACUGCGGCCUAUCAGCUUGUUGGUGAGGUGAUGGCCCACCAAGGCGAUUACAGGUACGGGCUCUGAGAGGAGAAGCCCGGAGAUGGGUACUGAGACACGGACCCAGGCCCUAUGGGGCGCAGCAGGCGAGAAAACUUUGCAAUGUGCGAAAGCACGACAAGGUUAAUCCGAGUGAUUUCUGCUAAAGAAAUCUUUUGCCAGUCAUAAAACCACUGGUGAAUAAGGGGUGGGCAAGUUCUGGUGUCAGCCGCCGCGGUAAAACCAGCACCUCAAGUGGUCAGGAUGAUUAUUGGGCCUAAAGCAUCCGUAGCCGGCUUUGUUAGUUUUCGGUUAAAUCCAUGUGCUCAACACAUGGGCUGCCGAAAAUACUGCAUGGCUAGGGAGUGGGAGAGGUAGACGGUACUCAGUAGGAAGGGGUAAAAUCCUUUGAUCUAUUGAUGACCACCUGUGGCGAAGGCGGUCUACCAGAACACGUUCGACGGUGAGGGAUGAAAGCUGGGGGAGCAAACCGGAUUAGAUACCCGGGUAGUCCCAGCUGUAAACGAUGCAGACUCGAUGAUGCAUUGGCAUAAUAGCCAAUGCAGUGUCGCAGGGAAGCCGUUAAGUCUGCCGCCUGGGAAGUACGUACGCAAGUAUGAAACUUAAAGGAAUUGGCGGGGGAGCACCACAAGGGGUGAAGCCUGCGGUUCAAUUGGAGUCAACGCCGGA